rnacentral:rRNA from 1 species
GAUGAACGCUGGCGGCGUGCCUAAUACAUGCAAGUCGAGCGAACGGACGAGAAGCUUGCUUCUCUGAUGUUAGCGGCGGACGGGUGAGUAACACGUGGAUAACCUACCUAUAAGACUGGGAUAACUUCGGGAAACCGGAGCUAAUACCGGAUAAUAUUUUGAACCGCAUGGUUCAAAAGUGAAAGACGGUCUUGCUGUCACUUAUAGAUGGAUCCGCGCUGCAUUAGCUAGUUGGUAAGGUAACGGCUUACCAAGGCAACGAUGCAUAGCCGACCUGAGAGGGUGAUCGGCCACACUGGAACUGAGACACGGUCCAGAGUCAUACGGGAAGCAGCAGUAGGAAAUCUUCCACAAUGGGCGAGAGCCUGACGGAGCAACGCCGCGUGAGUGAUGAAGGUCUUCGGAUCGUAAAACUCUGUUAUUAGAGAAGAACAUAUGUGUAAGUAACUGUGCACAUCUUGAUGGUACCUAAUCAGAAAGCCACGGCUAACUACGUG